CUCUCAAAGAGGCUGUGAAA
rnacentral:miRNA from 15 species